GAAGUGCGAUAAGCAAUGCGAAUUGCAGAAUUCCGCGAAUCAUCAGAUCUUUGAACGCAAAUGGCGCCAGAGGGAUAUCCUUCCGGCAUGUCUGUUUCAGUGUCUGAGAGGUUUCACUACUAUCUUAAUGUGAUUGAUGGAUUUUGGGGGAGGUAAGCAUCAAACCUCACCCCCUCCUAAAAACAUCUCUCAUGAAAGAUGUUCGAGUGGAUCUUUUGGUCCAAUGAAGUGGUCACAUCACUCGCAUGUGAUUUCAUUGGGAUCACCAAAUUAUCCGCAUGCUCAAAGUACUCUCACGAUGACAGUCUUUACGGACUAUCAUCCACUCCACACCCUGCAUCUGAGACAGGCAAGAUCACCCGCUGAACUUAA
rnacentral:misc_RNA from 1 species